CAUUCUACAGUUAUAUAUUGUGUUUAAUUUUUGAAUUGAUCACAGCCUUUUAGAGUGGAGCUGGAUAGUAAAAAUGAUUCGUUCUAAUAAAUCUUCAACUUUAUUAAAUUCCUAGAACUUUUCAAAAUAAUCAGUGUUGGUGUAAUUGGAAGUUGGAUAUACCAUUGCACACGAAAAAUAAUUCUGAGCGAAGGCGGUCGUCUGUCAUCCAAUGAUAUCAGAUAUAUUAAUGAUGUAUUAAAUUACCUUACAUUUGUUUAAACAGGUAAGCAGAUUAUAGAUACAAUGUUUAUACUGACAAAUAUAA